rnacentral:rRNA from 1 species
UACAGAGGGUGCAAGCGUUAAUCGGAAUUACUGGGCGUAAAGCGCGCGUAGGUGGUUCGUUAAGUUGGAUGUGAAAUCCCCGGGCUCAACCUGGGAACUGCAUUCAAAACUGUCGAGCUAGAGUAUGGUAGAGGGUGGUGGAAUUUCCUGUGUAGCGGUGAAAUGCGUAGAUAUAGGAAGGAACACCAGUGGCGAAGGCGACCACCUGGACUGAUACUGACACUGAGGUGCGAAAGCGUGGGGGAGCAAACAGG